rnacentral:lncRNA from 1 species
CUGGUAAGAUUCGGCUGAAUGGGAGCUCCAAUGGUCAGCUUCUAGAUGGAUAAAUGAACCUUGAACAACUUAGAUAGUGCAUGGAUGAGCUAGGUUCGGCCAAUGAGCAUAAUAAGCUCAUUUAAGUUGCAACUUUUGUUGAAAAGUGACCAGCAAUUAAAAGGGACUUGAACAGCCAAAUGAAGUGUGAAAGCUCAACUUUGAGGAGUCAUAGAGUGUGAAAAAAAGGUACCGA